UGGCUCAGGAUGAACGCUGGCGGCGUGCCUAAUACAUGCAAGUCGAACGCUUUGUCUUUAAUUGAUCUGACGAGCUUGCUCUGAUUUGAUUUUAUCUGACAAAGAGUGGCGAACGGGUGAGUAACACGUGGGUAACCUACCUCUUAGCAGGGGAUAACAUUUGGAAACAAGUGCUAAUACCGUAUAAUACCAACAACCGCAUGGUUGUUGGUUGAAAGAUGGUUCUGCUAUCACUAAGAGAUGGACCCGCGGUGCAUUAGCUAGUUGGUAAGGUAACGGCUUACCAAGGCAAUGAUGCAUAGCCGAGUUGAGAGACUGAUCGGCCACAAUGGGACUGAGACACGGCCCAUACUCCUACGGGAGGCAGCAGUAGGGAAUCUUCCACAAUGGGCGCAAGCCUGAUGGAGCAACGCCGCGUGUGUGAUGAAGGGUUUCGGCUCGUAAAACACUGUUAUAAGAGAAGAACGGCACUGAGAGUAACUGUUCAGUGUGUGACGGUAUCUUACCAGAAAGGAACGGCUAAAUACGUGCCAGCAGCCGCGGUAAUACGUAUGUUCCAAGCGUUAUCCGGAUUUAUUGGGCGUAAAGCGAGCGCAGACGGUUAUUUAAGUCUGAAGUGAAAGCCCUCAGCUCAACUGAGGAAUGGCUUUGGAAACUGGAUGACUUGAGUGCAGUAGAGGAAAGUGGAACUCCAUGUGUAGCGGUGAAAUGCGUAGAUAUAUGGAAGAACACCAGUGGCGAAGGCGGCUUUCUGGACUGUAACUGACGUUGAGGCUCGAAAGUGUGGGUAGCAAACAGGAUUAGAUACCCUGGUAGUCCACACCGUAAACGAUGAGUGCUAGAUGUUCGAGGGUUUCCGCCCUUGAGUGUCGCAGCUAACGCA
rnacentral:rRNA from 1 species